rnacentral:rRNA from 1 species
UACGUAGGGGGCAAGCGUUGUCCGGAAUCAUUGGGCGUAAAGAGCGUGUAGGCGGCUUGGUAAGUCCGCUGUGAAAGUCCAGGGCUCAACCCUGGAAUGCCGGUGGAAACUGUCAAGCUUGAGUCCGGAAGAGGCGAGUGGAAUUCCUGGUGUAGCGGUGAAAUGCGUAGAGAUCAGGAAGAACACCCGUGGCGAAGGCGGCCCACUGGGCCGGUACUGACGCUGAGGCGCGAAGGCGUGGGGAGCGAACGGG